rnacentral:rRNA from 1 species
GAUGAACGCUAGCGGCAGGCCUAAUACAUGCAAGACGAACGGUAACUUGAGUAGCAAUAUUUGAGCAAGAGUGUCGUAAGGGUGCGUAACACGUAUGCAAUCUGCCCUCAACAGGAGGAUAGCUCCCCGAAAGGGGAAUUAACACUCCAUAAGAUUGUGGUCUGGCAUCAGACAGCAAUUAAAACUACGGUGGUUGAGGAUGAGCAUGCGCAUGAUUAGUUAGUUGGCGGGGUAACGGCCCACCAAGACGAUGAUCAUUAGGGGAACUGAGAGGUUGAUCCCCCACACUGGCACUGAGAUACGGGCCAGACUCCUACGGGAGGCAGCAGUAGGGAAUAUUGGACAAUGGGUGCGAGCCUGAUCCAGCCAUGCCGCGUGCAGGAAGACGGCCUUCUGGGUUGUAAACUGCUUUUGCCAGGGGAUAAAAAGUCCCUGCGGGGAAAAUUGAAGGUACCUGGUGAAUAAGCCACGGCUAACUACGUGCCAGCAGCCGCGGUAAUACGUAGGUGGCAAGCGUUGUCCGGAUUUAUUGGGUUUAAAGGGUGCGUAGGCGGUCCAUUAAGUCAGUGGUGAAAUACGGCAGCUUAACUGUCGAGGUGCCAUUGAUACUGGAGGACUUGAGUACAGACGAGGUAGGC